UCGAGCGGUAAGGCCCUUCGGGGUACACGAGCGGCGAACGGGUGAGUAACACGUGGGUGAUCUGCCCUGCACUUCGGGAUAAGCCUGGGAAACUGGGUCUAAUACCGGAUAUGACCAAGGACUGCAUGGUUUUUGGUGGAAAGGUUUACUGGUGCAGGAUGGGCCCGCGGCCUAUCAGCUUGUUGGUGGGGUAAUGGCCUACCAAGGCGACGACGGGUAGCCGACCUGAGAGGGUGACCGGCCACACUGGGACUGAGACACGGCCCAGACUCCUACGGGAGGCAGCAGUGGGGAAUAUUGCACAAUGGGCGAAAGCCUGAUGCAGCGACGCCGCGUGAGGGAUGACGGCCUUCGGGUUGUAAACCUCUUUCAGCAGGGACGAAGCGAGAGUGACGGUACCUGCAGAAGAAGCACCGGCUAACUACGUGCCAGCAGCCGCGGUAAUACGUAGGGUGCAAGCGUUGUCCGGAAUUACUGGGCGUAAAGAGNUCGUAGGCGGUUUGUCGCGUCNUNNGUGAAAACUCNNNGCUCANCNNNNAGCNUGCAGGCGAUACGGGCAGACUUGAGUACUGCAGGGGAGACUGGAAUUCCUGGUGUAGCGGUGAAAUGCGCAGAUAUCAGGAGGAACACCGGUGGCGAAGGCGGGUCUCUGGGCAGUAACUGACGCUGANGANCNAAAGCGUGGGUAGCNAACAGGAUUAGAUACCCUGGUAGUCCACGCCGUAAA
rnacentral:rRNA from 1 species